GACGAACGCUGGCGGCGUGCCUAAUACAUGCAAGUAGAACGCUGAAGGAGGAGCUUGCUCUUCUGGAUGAGUUGCGAACGGGUGAGUAACGCGUAGGUAACCUGCCUGGUAGCGGGGGAUAACUAUUGGAAACGAUAGCUAAUACCGCAUAAGAGUAGAUGUUGCAUGACAUUUACUUAAAAGGUGCAAUUGCAUCACUACCAGAUGGACCUGCGUUGUAUUAGCUAGUUGGUGGGGUAACGGCUUACCAAGGCGACGAUACAUAGCCGACCUGAGAGGGUGAUCGGCCACCCUGGGACUGGGACACGGCCCAGACUCCUACGGGAGGCAGCAGUAGGGAAUCUUCGGCAAUGGACGGAAGUCUGACCGAGCAACGCCGCGUGAGUGAAGAAGGUUUUCGGAUCGUAAAGCUCUGUUGUAAGAGAAGAACGAGUGUGAGAGUGGAAAGUUCACACUGUGACGGUAUCUUACCAGAAAGGGACGGCUAACUACGUG
rnacentral:rRNA from 1 species